AUUUAAUAUUCAAUAGAAGGUACAAUUAUUUACAAAAUGGCUAUUUUGAAAAUUUUCCAAAGUGAACGAACGAAAAGUUAAUUUGUUUUGUGUGUGUUCAGGGAAUGAAAAUAAAAAUGUAAUUUUUCUCUAAAUCGAUGGCCCGCUUGAAGACAAACCGAUUGAAAAAAAUUUAAUAUCAGCAGCGUCCGUCGACACGGUGGAACUCACUGUAUUAAAACAUAACAGCGGCUUUUUUCUCGCCGAUUUUCCGAUAGCCAUUUGUCGACUGCAGUCGGCAUCGGGAUAAUACUUUUACGUUAAAUUCGUACGGUGACGAGUAACGUGAACGGGUAAAGGGCCACGGAAAGCGAUUCGUGUAAGAAACGGUGGAUUAUCUGCAACGCGGGAUUAUUCGGGAGACGUGUGCACCGAGUGUAUAAAUCAAAGACACGGCGAGUAUCGCAUUGUCGUCGUCUUGUGUAAUAAAACACACGCGUACAAAGUAAACGGAUCCGCGUUCGUGUACACACACACACACACACACACGUAUAUAUAUAUUUAUAUGUAUAACAUAUUAUAAUAUAAGUGUGCUGGUGUAUAAUACGAGAUUUUCGUUCUCAAUAUUGUACGGUCUCAAAGAGAAACUGAACGAGAAUUGGUUUUAUAUGUGUACAUACCC